GAGAAAGUUACUAAGAGCGUAUGGGGGAUGCCUAGGCUCUCAGAGGCGAUGAAGGACGUGAUAAGCUGCGAUAAGCUGCGGGGAUUAGCACAUAUGAAGUGAUCCGCAGAUUUCCGAAUGGGGCAACCCACUUAAUUGAAGAUUAAGUACCGAAAGGGGCAAACCCGGAGAACUGAAACAUCUAAGUACCCGGAGGAAGAGAAAACAAUAGUGAUUCCGUUAGUAGUGGCGAGCGAACGCGGAACAGCCCAAACCACUUUGGUUACGGCCAGAGUGGGGUUGUAGGACUGCGAUAUCUUAACAAAAAUGAACUGGAACGGUCUGGGAAGGCCGGUCGUAGAAGGUGAGAACCCUGUACAGGUAAGUUUUUGAGCGGUAGCAGUAUCCUGAGUAAGGCGGGACAGGUGAAAUCCCGUCUGAAUCUACCGGCACCAUCC
rnacentral:rRNA from 1 species